GAAAAAAAGAAUUUAAAAACCUGUACUCUGGCUCUUAAUAGCAAAGUUGAGAAGAAAGGCUUGAGCUGCCAAGAAGCUAAUAUUUACUGGGUGCCUACUAUAUGCUACAAUCCCUGAUUAGAUAAUUCCCAUGUGUUAUAUUCUGCAAUGUAUAGAAGGUAAUGCGAUGUUCAAUUGAGGGAUAGGUGUUAUUACCCUUGUUUUGUAGAUGAGUAAGUGGAGGGUCAGAGAUGAAGGAACAUAUUUAAGGAGAAUUCAUGGAAUUCGUGGCAGAGUUGGGACGUAACCCCAGAUCUGUUUGCAUGCAGCAAAGCCCGUCUCACUGUAUGAGCUACCUCUGCAGUGCCAGGAUCUUCUCACAACUAUCACUUUCCCUUUCAAUAUGGGAAAUAAUAUUCCUAAAAAUGCAGAGAAAGGAAUGAUGGAGAAAACAAUGGAGAAUAUGAUGGAGAAGAAGAAGGGAAAGACAACAGAAAAAAAGAUAAAGAUGGCAGAGGUGAGGUGAAAGCAGAGGGAAGGGGCAUGAGGAAGGGAAAAGACUUGUGAUCUACUUACACUUUGGCCCAGCUUAGAAACAUAAACACACACAUAAGAACCAAGUUUGACUGAUCUCCUCCAGCCUUGAGUUCUUGUCAUUGUCAUCAUCAUUAUCAUCAUCAGUAAUGACUUCAUUUAUUCAUCCAUUUAGCAAUUCUUUAAGAAUAUGUGCCAGGAAUAAGAAUGGGGGUGAAAAACUCAACUGACAUAGUCCUUGCUCACAGAGCUUAGAGUCUAGUAGGGGUGAUAGGCAAUAAUCAAACAUGCAAAUAAAUGUGAAGUUACCACUGUAACGCA
rnacentral:lncRNA from 1 species